GAGAGCAUAAAUUUAGUUGCAAAUGCUCAGCUACUGGAAGUCUGAGUGCAUGAAGCUUUUCAGUCACAAACUAAAUCAAACAAGUUACGGCUCUUCUCAGACUGUUCGAACAGCUACCGCUUAAUUGCAGACUAUUCCUUUUAGCGGAUACACCGCGCUCUCCCCUGCCUCUAUAAAUAGCGGUCCCUGUACAAGCACAGCCCCGCAGCUCAAGGGUUCAGGAGAGGAGGAACUAGAGAAGCUGAAAAUGAAAAGUUAAAAGGGACCCGACCAUCGCAGGCACACAAGCGCUGAAAAACGGAUUAAUCCAGCAUGGCGCAGCUGUCGCAGGGCAGAGCAGCGACCAGGGCAGCGAGCGGUGGUGGCCGCUCGUCCGGCACCGCGGCUGGGCCGUUCCAGACAGCGCGCCCAGCGCCCCGGUGCGCCCGCGCCUCGCUGCCUGCACCGGAAACGGAGUCCAGCGCCCACCUCGUGCGGACAGAGCGCAGACUGUGGCCCGGAUGUUGCUGACUCUCACUAGAGAAAACAAGCCACGGGAAACCUUCCAAUCCCUCAGCUACAGACUAAAUGAGAACGUCAAUAUGGAAGUUGUUCAACCAAAAGCGUCAGGUCCUCAACCGAGAGAACUUGCUGAAGCCAAAGGGAUGGUGAAGAAAUGACCUCAGACAGUUUGUUACCUGGACGAAAACAGAGUAGGUGCCACAGAGCGUCCGUUUCAACUCAGCAGCCACCUUGAGAAAACAGAUGAUCAGCUGCAGUCCACUGAGAGCCAUCAGAACCGAGACUAAACUGAUGUUCCACGCCACCACGUUAGCAGGUUCUGUGCACCGAGACCAAGCAGAGUAAUCGGUGAGGUACCUAUCGCAGAAACAGUAAUGCAAAGUAAUUCAGUUACAGGUGGGUGCAAUUCAGUUUAAAUACAUUUUUUACCUAUAAUAUGUAGGAAAAAACCAUACUGGGCUUUCUGCGCUUCCAGCUGAGGAGGCAGACCCCAGCCUUCCACCACGCCAGCACGGCUCCUGCAGUUUGUCACACCCAGCUGGGUGGAGGCUCCUUUCCUCAAAUUUAUCUGCUUCACUUGUGUCUCUGUUAGACAUGCAAGUAUUAGAACGACUCUGCCACUCUUCCAAAUGGCAGAAGCCAGGUUCCAAAAGGGAAUCUUCCUUUUAUUGAUUUAAAUUCACCUUCAGGUGAAGUCUAUGCAGAGAGCAGAAACACCCCAACGCCGCCGGCCCCUCGGGCGCACGCAGAGCUCGGGUAAGCGCGACCCCCAGCUGUUCUACAGCUGUGGUUUCCGUCCCUGAGGACCAAACCACGCGCGCCUGACGGGCCCUUUGGCCUGUGACACACGCCACGGCCCGGGGGCUGGCUGCAGGAACCUUUGCGAGACAAUCCUGCCCAGUACCAGUCGCUUUUCUUCUAGUCAUUCACAACCGAAAUGCUUUGAGCCAAACCUGGAGAGCCCAGCACCUGGCCCUUUACACUGAACUAACCCCCUCGCUUGUAUUUCCACGGGAAUGCUGGUGACACGCAGCAGAGAUUGCAGGAUGCACUUCUGUGCUUUAAAUAAAGCCGACUUCAGUCAGGGAAGCCAACCGUUCAGGAACUGUUCCUGUUGGGUGCUGAGGGAACUUGUUUGUGACGCUCUGACAAAUGGAACAGUUUGCAGUAAAACGCAGCUGGAGGAGCUGGGCAUUAUGUGACCUGAAAUACUCGAGUCUUGUAAGACCCUGAUCUUUUAAAGGGAGCAUGUAAAACCUCGCGGAAGCAGCCCCAGGUCACAGAUCUAACCAAAGCACACUUGGUGCACCUCGCUUUGGGGUUUGAUGAGAUCCAGCGACUGUAUGCAAAAGCUACCAGUGAUCGAAACACGGGCUUCCUUGAGCUGUAGGAGUUAAAGAGAAGCCUAAUGAGCUACUAAAUAUAAAAACCUCGUCUAUAAUAUUUGAAUCAAAACCUUGAAGGAAUUUGAGAGACUAUUUUGAGAAAGUAUCUAUCCACACUCACUCUAUUCUUACAUUCUUUGCCACACACGUGAUUGUGAGCACCAGAAAAAGGACACUUAGCCAGAUGGACCUCCAGGUCUCAUCGGUACCAAGACUCGUACAUUCAAUAUUUCUUACAAGAAGGCAAAUACCUUAUUUGAGGAUUCUGGUGCUCAUUCGAGAAGGUGAAAAACUUCACUCGCCAAUCUAGAUCUCGCGUUUAACAGACUGAGGCAUCCUGUGUGAAACUGAGAUAACUGACCAUUGCUUUGAUGAACAGUUGCUUCCAGAAGUUACAGUGAUGCUUCUUACCCCCCAGCAGUGUCCUUGAAGAUGUAAUCCCAUCCACCCGAGGAAUUGCAGAAGGGGCCUUGGAUCAGCCCCCAGGUAAAAAUGAUGCAACUGUAUCCGGAGAAGGCGACGCCGAGCAGGGCCAGCACGAUUGAAAGGAAGCUCUGAGGGGAGAAAACCAGCGCCGAGUGAGGACGGUGCCCACGGCGAGCAAACACGCCGCUCAGCCCCACCAGCCGCUUCCCUGGGGCUCAACUGCACGUUGGUGGUCCCGGUCUUCAGUAUUCAGAAAGAAAAGCACCACUUGAAGAAUAGUAAGCAUACACAUACAAAGUAAAGAGUUUAAGACAGUUUCACAACUCUCAGCUAAGUAUUGUCUGGGGAUUUUUUGUUAAACUUGCAUUUUUGCAAAGUGCUGGAAGACAACAAUGCAUUAAACACGUUUGCAUCCCAGACAGCAUAUAUUGAGUCGUUCUGGAGAACGUAACUUCCAAAUAAUAAAAGCAAAGGAACGAAGCUAUUUAGCUGGGACAUUUCGUCGGAACUCUCAGGCUCUCUACAUCCUCGCGUUGUUUCACAGGGACGGUUUGCUUGCCCGUCAGACGGAAGGGCUCACGCCGUGUGACCCGCGGGCACCGGGUCCGGCGCGCGGAGGAAGCGGCUCGCGCAGCGGCAGGGCAGGGCACGCGGCAAACGCAGGAAGGCGCUUCAACAACCGCUGAGGAGACGCACAAACCCAGAGCAGACUCACCCUGUAGGUUUUGUUACAGCUCUCGCUCUCACAGCACCGAUAGAACACGCUACACUCCAGUGCGAUCAGAAUUACUGCCAGCAGAAGGAUCUGUAACGGGACAUCACAAGGUCAGUGAAAUGGCUGCAGACAUCCAGCCAAGGCUCCUUCGCAGCAGAAGGCAGGGACGCAUCUGUAUGCUCAGCCGACAUUUUAAAGCUGCUCAAACGGAAAGCGCAAUUUCUGCACGGAACGGAACCGUUCUGACGAGGCCGUCACCCCGCUUGUCUCUUGCACUUGAAAGCCGAGCAGAGUUACCUGCGCAGACACGGCUGCGCCAGCGACGCGGGAAGAUAAACCCGGCCCGCGAGCAAAAGAAUCGAUGCCAGAGAAAGGGAGGAUCUGUCGCUGGAACCCCACACCAGUUCAACAGGGACCAGGGAAUCGCCUUCCUUACCAACACGCUUACCCUGCGGAAGAUCAGUUGUACAAGUUUUCAUUAAAUUCACCCAGCCUUUCAUUCCCUUUCUCUGUCGAGCAUCCACACUGUUCCUCUCAGACUAUUGGGUAAACCUGAGACUAGAAUCAUUUCGAUAAACAGGACUCGGGCUCCAGACCCAGAAGCCGCCCCUCGUUGGCACUGGUUUGUGAGGGGAAAAGCGGAAAGGAGGUAUUUCUGAAUCACAGCACUAUCCUCUCUCAUGCUGCUGCCCUGUUUGUAACAGGGUAAUAUGGGUGUUUUUAAUAAAUAAUGAUCUUAAGGCUAAAAAUGCUUCAAAUUAUGAAUGUCAUUGUUGCAGUUAACUUUUCCUCAAUUUUUCAAUUAUGCUUUUCUGUUCAAAUUCUCUGCCCAACAGUUUUUCCUCCACCAUAAAAGAUCAGGUUUUUCUUCUGCUUGAGGAAGAAUGCACUGUUUCAAAAGAAUGCCCCAUGUUUCAAUAGCUCCCAGCUCAGCACCUUCAUAAACGCACCUUACUUACGCAGAGACCUUCCAGAAUCCCGACUGUGCGCGCACUUUGCUCGCGACGGCGCGCUGUCCUGGGGCUGCAGCUCUUCGCGAGCAGCACCGAGGCAGUUUACCAGGGCAGGCGAGCACGUUACAAAUGUCACGGAGAAAAUCCUCCCGUGGCAGCCACAGCGAGAGCAGCUUCUGCAUCUCGCCUAAGGACAGCGGCAGUCGAUGCACCGCGAACCGCACCCAGCCCUCCAAGCACCGCACUGCACCGCGCACAGUCCUGAACACACCCAACAGCCACGGGAAGCCGCAGCACAAGCGUGAAUUACACGUACACAAAAGCCAGCAGAAAAACAUAAAAAUCAACCCCGCAAAACCACUGACAUGGAAUUGAGCAGCAUACAUAGAUGUAAUUCAGUAUAUUCACAUUGUUUCAGUUUAAUCGAGUAUUUUAGCCUGCAGUGGUUUUUCCAAAGUAAUCCAUACUCUCUUUAAAAGCACAGUGAUGUUGCUGCACAGUGGCCCGGUGUUGUUUGCAGCAGAAAGCAACCCAUCAGGAAACCAUGGAGUCAGUACUUACCAUCACGCCUGAGAAACAGAUCCCCUCGAAGUGCCACACGUAGCUCGGCAGCUGGUAACCGGCUCUCCCGUUAGGGAAGUACAGCAGGACGUUAACAACGAUGCUCCAAAGCGCCAGAGGGAUCAGCAAACAACUCAGGCAGCUUCCACACGUCUCCAAAGCCAUCGCUCGAGAACUUCAGAAGUUUUGCUCUCCUAGGCUAACAGGAGAUUACAAGGUUUUGGCCUCCUCGGUUUGAUUCAGUCAUUUCAUGUCCACAGGAAGCAGGUGACUGGGAUGUGAUUCCAGAGACAGAGAAACACUUACAGUCAGCAGAAUAACAGAUUAAUAGUCCUGCCUAAACUCAUUGUCCUUCCUAAGCGCAUGUCUUUAAGCAGCAGCUUCCCUUCUGGAAGAUCCUCCUUUGUGAUCUGCCAAAUGAAAUACGUCUGGAAGUCAGACUCAGGAAGGAAGUGCAGCCAUCACCUCCUCCGGCCUCCCGGGUCAGGGCUCCGCUGCGGGUGUCCUGCUCGGCCCCGCUGCAGCCCACGCGGCUUUCUGCCCCACGGUACACAGGUCCCGCCCCCGCGCAGCCCACACGUCACUCACACCGCGGAGAACCGACGGCAGAGCUCGGCAGCUGUGAACCCCAAAACCACAAAAACCCCAACACAAAACCCCGGGCUGAGCUCGGCCGCUCUGCAGGGAGCACAGAGGCCCGGAUAACCACUUACAAACUGCCAGGCAGACUCAUUGUUACCCCUUAUAACUAAACACCCCGCAGCGUUAUGCAGCCGAACUGUUUCGUGCACUAAGUCCUGCUUUCUCCAGCUGUUUUACCCUGUGCUCACAGCUGGGUAUGCGCAGCCGCAGAUCCCACCUAAGUACACGAGACCUCGCACAGCACAGGCGCUCUGGCUGGCUCUGCAACGCCGGCUGUCCCGCGCUGUGCGGAGCCCAAGCCAAACGCUUCCCCGUUUUCACGUGCCCUCGCUCCCCAAGCAACGCGGCCGCCGCGGCAGCCCAGGGCUGUCGAACGCCCGCAGCGCGGCCGAGCCCCGUGAGUCACCAGACGUGACUCACGCCUGCGGUUUGCUCCAUGGGAAAGCUGUGGUCAGAGAACGCAACGCUGGGACCCCAUCGAAAGCAGUAAGGCUGUUGUGGAAGCAAUGAUGUCGUGGCACAUUUUCCUGCUGUUUCCUCAUGAGCUGUUUUAGCCUCCGCACACAUGAGGCUUCUCUCACAAUCUCAUAAAAGCUGUUUGGGUUGGAUGUUGUAAUUAAUUCCUUCCUAUUUCUUUGAAUGAGAUCACUCAAGGAAAUGGGCAUGGUGGCACUCAUGCAAUUACACCGUUUUUGUAGCCAUUGUGCUGUGACGCUCCCGUUCCCUCUCGCCUUCUUUCCCCCAGGAGGUUCUGUGUUGGAGUCCUCAGCCUGUGCUGUGAGGAUCCCCCACGUUUCCUGCUCUGCUCCCCCGCCACUCCCGACGCUUUUCCAGGCCUCGUUCUAAUCGGGAUUAGCGGCGAACUUCCCUUUGCAGGCUCAGCAGCACGGACGGAACCCACAUCCACACUGGUCACGGCUCAGAGCACAGGGCUGAAUUAAAAGCGGGCACAUAACACCCCUGACUGAUUUUCUUAUUACAAAACUCAGAGAUCAUGUUAUAAGCUGAAACAUUUUUUUCUAAAAGCAAAGGCCAAAAUGACUCGUGAGCAGCUUAGUUUAGAAUCAGAUUUGCUGCUACUCCCCAUGGCAAUCUGUUCCAAUUAGAAGGAACCUACUUGGAAAAUGACACCUGAAGCAGUUUCACGAUGCAGACUGCUGUAUGCAGAACAGACUUGCUUUGUAUUUAAACUGAGCUCUGCAAAUACAAAAUCCAGGUGCUGGGUUUUUUCUGGCUCGCUGUAUCCAUUUGAUGCCCAGUAUGAAGCAAGGCUGGCAUCCAGUUUCUCAACUCUCUUACCGAGUGUUGCAAGAGCUGCUUUCCCGUUGCUGUCAAUAAUCGUGAGCCGACGCCAAGCCCAUUACCGAAAAGGCAUGUUUACCCUGGACGAGUAACUUCUCUGCCGAGUUUAACCUAAACCAGCUGCUUCUCCAAGACGUGGCUGAUGAGCUCCCAAAACACUGUCCAUGCAUCAGGUGGCAAAGGAAUUCAAUUGGCCUUUUUCAAAAUGACAACAUCAACAGUGAGUAGUAAUGCUGUGCAUUAGUGCCAGAUGGAUCGGAGCUACAGUUUUAAUUCUAAACUCUAGCCUGAUCAUGCUGUCCAUUGAAAUGUCUAAAAUGGUUUCAGUUCUUUAAUUAGCUGUGCGCAGCAGAAAGACAAGUGUCAAUCAUACACGCAAGAAGGCAAAAAACCAAUAAUCUAAGUUGUGCAGGAAUUAUAUCAUAUUUCAUUGAGACCCUCUUCUCCUCCCUCCCACAGCAGGGCAAGACAGGGAUACACGAAACAAGCAGAGACAGCACUGCAGACUGCCCUCGGGUGUAACAGUUGCAUGCACUUCUGUACGAAGAAAUGGUAUAGCAAGCAGCAGAUACUCUGAGAUUCUGAACACGAACUUUCUCAUCUGUGAGUUCUUUUGUUGCUGUGGAUGUGUGUGCGAUUCUGUUCUCACGGUUCAUUUAUUCUUUUCAGGUGUACGUUUACUGGGCAGCCUUGGCGGUGAGGACAGCCGAGAUACAGCCCAAGGUCUGCCCCCUCCCAGUUACAAACUGUACUGAGUACGCACUGACACCCAUGGGAAAUUCCUUCUCCCAUAAACAGAAACUAACUUCCCUGUUUUCAAAGAUAACAUUGACUGCUAGAUUCCAAAACUGAACAAUCGUGGUAAUCAGCCCAAUUUCUUUGAAAUAAAUGGCAUGUCACA